AACGAACGCUGGCGGCGUGCUUAACACAUGCAAGUCGAACGCGAAAGGGACUUCGGUCCUGAGUAAAGUGGCGCACGGGUGAGUAACGCGUGGAUAAUCUACCCAAUGAUCUGGGAUAACAUCUCGAAAGAGGUGCUAAUACCGGAUAAGACCACGAAGUCUUCGGACUUUGCGGUAAAAGGUGGGGACCUUCGGGCCUACCGUCAUCGGAUGAGUCCGCGUACCAUUAGCUAGUUGGUGGGGUAAUGGCCUACCAAGGCUACGAUGGUUAGCUGGUCUGAGAGGAUGAUCAGCCACACUGGAACUGAGACACGGUCCAGACUCCUACGGGAGGCAGCAGUGGGGAAUUUUGCGCAAUGGGGGAAACCCUGACGCAGCAACGCCGCGUGAGUGCANNGAAGGCUUUCGGGUCGUAAAGCUCUGUCAGAGGGGAAGAAAUGCAUUGGUGCUAAUAUCAUCUUUGCUUGACGGUACCCUCAAAG
rnacentral:rRNA from 1 species